rnacentral:lncRNA from 1 species
AAAUAAAUAUCUCCAUAUGGACUAUUAUCCAAAGCAAUUGUGAAUCCUUGCAGUACGGGGCAGCGUGUGGUGGUGACAUCCUGUGAAUGGCCGAGUUCUGAGGCCGUCCUCGAGCGUCCAUUUGAGUAGUGGCCUAAAUGAGGGGUGCCCUUCACGGAUGGAAUAAGGGCCUUUCAUUCGGAAACACUUGGCAACAUGGGAGGGAGCAGAGGGCCGCUCUGCAAGACGCGAGGCCUGGUGGGAAGCCAGGCGAGAGGAGCAGAACAUGGCCACAGCAUGAAGAACCAUCCCUGCACCACACAGUAGAGGGUGAGCAGAUGCCUGGAUGCACCCCAAUCCCCCAGCAAAGCCCUGAGCUGCUUUGAGCCUCAGUUACCUCGGUGGCCCAAUGGAGACUGCACUGUCUCCCGGCAAGGCUGCUGGGCAGCUCACGGAAAGGACAACUGUAAGAUACAGGUGUUUUCUGCCUGGCGGUGGUGAGGGCUCCUCACAUUUUUCUUUUAUCCUAAAAGCAACAAGGAGCAGCAGCAGUUUUUAGGGAGGAGCAUGCAUGGCACGACCUACGUGCCCUUUACUCAUCUGGCAAGGGCCCAAGCUGAGUGAAAUCUGACAUCGUAGUAGAGCAGGUCCUUUGGGCCUAUGAGGAGGCAGAAGGGAAGGAAGAAGGACGGCUUCCCUGGUGU